AUUGAACGCUGGCGGCAGGCUUAACACAUGCAAGUCGAACGGUAACAUAAAGAAGCUUGCUUCUUUGAUGACGAGUGGCGGACGGGUGAGUAAUGCUUGGGAAUCUAGCUUAUGGAGGGGGAUAACCACGGGAAACUGUAGCUAAUACUGCGUAGAAUCGGGAGAUGAAAGUGUGGGACCUUCGGGCCACAUGCCAUAGGAUGAGCCCAAGUGGGAUUAGGUAGUUGGUGAGGUAAAGGCUCACCAAGCCGACGAUCUCUAGCUGGUCUGAGAGGAUGACCAGCCACACUGGGACUGAGACACGGCCCAGACUCCUACGGGAGGCAGCAGUGGGGAAUAUUGCGCAAUGGGGGCAACCCUGACGCAGCCAUGCCGCGUGAAUGAAGAAGGCCUUCGGGUUGUAAAGUUCUUUCGGUAGCGAGGAAGGCAUUUAGUUUAAUAGACUAGGUGAUUGACGUUAACUACAGAAGAAGCACCGGCUAACUCCGUG
rnacentral:rRNA from 1 species